rnacentral:rRNA from 1 species
AUGGGGACGGCGUCCGGCGACGACGACCGGCACGUGAUGCACCAGGGCGGCGGCGUGAACCUGUCGGCGCGGCGCCCCUUCUCGGAGGCGCUGCGGUCGGGCCUCGCCGAGACCUUCUUCCCGGACGACCCGUUCCGCGGGUUCGGCGCGCUGCCGCCCAAGGAGCGGGCGUGGGGCGCGCUCAAGUACUUCGUGCCGGCGCUGGAGUGGGUGCCCCAGUACGGCAUCGACAAGUUCAAGUUCGACCUCCUCGCCGGCAUCACCAUCGCCAGCCUCGCCAUCCCGCAGGGCAUCAGCUACGCGCGCCUCGCCAACCUCCCGCCCAUCAUCGGCCUCUAUUCGAGCUUCGUGCCGCCGCUGCUGUACGCGGUGUUCGGGAGCUCCAACAACCUGGCGGUGGGCACGGUGGCGGCGGCGUCCCUGCUGCUGGCGUCCAUCAUCGAGGACGAGGUGUCGCCCGAGGACAACCCGGAGCUCUACCUGCACCUCUUCUACACCGCCGCCUUCUUCACCGGCAUCUUCCAGACGGCCCUAGGCGUCUUCAGAUUAGGGCUGAUAGUGGAUUUCCUGUCGCGGUCGACGAUCACGGGGUUCAUGGGCGGCACGGCGAUGAUCAUCAUAAUGCAGCAGCUCAAGGGGCUUCUGGGGAUGAAGCACUUCACCUCCAAGACCGACCUCAUCUCCGUCGUAGGCUCCAUCUUCAAAUACAGACACGAGAAAAAGAAAAUGCCACAUUUAUUCUGGGUGUCGGCCAUUGCGCCGUUCAUGGUUGUCGUCAUCGGAGGCGUCUUUGAUUUCCUUGUCCACGGUGAUGAGCACGGCAUCCCAAUCGUUGGUGACCUCAAGAAAGGGAUUAAUCCCAUCUCCAUUUCACAGUUGAGGUUCAACGGCAAGCACGUAGGGGUAGUUGUGAAAGCAGGGCUCUUGUCUGGGAUCCUAGCUCUCGCAGAAGGAAUAGCCGUGGGACGAAGUUUGGCCAUGAUCAAGAACGAACAGAUCGACGGUAACAAGGAGAUGAUCGCGUUCGGCAUGAUGAACAUCGUCGGUUCUUUCACCUCCUGUUACCUCACCACAGGGCCCUUCUCCAAGUCGGCGGUCAACUUCGACGCCGGGUGCAAGACGCCCAUGUCCAACGUGGUGAUGUCGGUGUGCAUAUUGCUGGUGCUGCUGUUCCUGGCCCCUCUGUUCAAGUACACCCCGCUGGUGGCCCUCUCCUCCAUCAUCGUGGUCGCCAUGAUCGGGCUGAUCAAGGUCAAGGAGUUCAUCCGCCUCUACAGGGUCGACAAGUUCGACUUCUGCAUCUGCAUGGUCGCUUUCGUGGGCGUCGUCUUCUUCACCAUGGUCAUAGGCCUUAGCGCAUCAGUCGGCUUGUCUGUGCUCAGGGCACUGCUGUACGUGGCUAGGCCGGCAACCGUCAAGCUCGGAAACAUAACGGGGACCGAGGUCUUCCGGGACGUAAAGCAGUACCCGCAUGCCAAGAGCGUCCCCAACAUCCUCGUCUUGCAGCUGGGCUCUCCCAUAUAUUUCGUCAACGCGGGCUACUUGCGAGAGAGGAUUUUGAGAUGGGUUGAAGAUGAGGAGCACAUUUGCAAGGGGCACGGGCAAGACUUGCAAUGCCUGGUUCUUGAUCUUGGUGGCGUGACUUCAAUCGACAACACGGGGAUCGGGAUGCUAGGAGAAGUUCACAAGGGCCUGGACCGGAAGGGGAUCAUGAUAGCUCUGGCGAAUCCCAGACUGCAGGUGACGGAGAAGCUGGUGGUGUCAGGGUACAUCAAGGACACCAUAGGGGAGGAGAGCGUGUUCCUGACCAUCACGGACGCCAUCGCGUCGUGCCGGUACGGGCUGCGGAGGUUCAGAGGCAAGGAGGGAUGCAGCGAAGUAUAG